CCCUUAGAUGUUCUGGGCCGCACGCGCGCUACACUGAUGCAUUCAACGAGUCUAAAACCUGCUCUGAUAGGGGUGGGUAAUCUUUUGAAUGUGCAUCGUGAUUGGGAUAGAUGAUUGCAAUUUUUCAUCUUCAACGAGGAAUGCCUAGUAAACGCAAGUCAUCAGCUUGCAUUGAUUACGUCCCUGCCCUUUGUACACACCGCCCGUCGCUACUACCGAUUGAAUGGCUUAGUGAGGCCUCAGGAUCCGCGCUUAAUGUGUGGAGAAUUUGGACAAACUACGUCAUUUAGAGGAAGUAAAAGUCGUAACA
rnacentral:rRNA from 1 species